rnacentral:misc_RNA from 1 species
GAUGAAGAACGUAGCGAAAUGCGAUAAGUAAUGUGAAUUGCAGAAUUCAGUGAAUCAUCGAAUCUUUGAACGCACAUUGCGCCCGCCAGCAUUCUGGCGGGCAUGCCUGUUCGAGCGUCAUUUCAACCCUCGCAGCCCAUCUGGGCAGCGGUGUUGGGGACCGGCACCACCGGCGAAGCCCUUAGGGACCCAGCCGGCGCCGCCCCCGAAAUACAGUGGCGGUCUCGCUGCAGCCUCCCUUGCGUAGUAGCACACCUCGCACCGGAGCGCAGCGCGGCCACGCCGUAAAACCCCCGACUUUCUGAGUUUGACCUCGAAUCAGGUAGGAAUACCCGCUGAACUUAAGCAUAUCAAUAAGCGGAGGA